GCGUGAGUGACGAAGGCCUUAGGGUUGUAAAGCUCUUUUGGCGGGGACGAUAAUGACGGUACCCGCAGAAUAAGCCCCGGCUAACUUCGUGCCAGCAGCCGCGGUAAUACGAAGGGGGCUAGCGUUGUUCGGAAUUACUGGGCGUAAAGCGCACGUAGGCGGAUUUGUUAGUCAGGGGUGAAAUCCCGGGGCUCAACCUCGGAACUGCCUUUGAUACUGCAAGUCUUGAGUCCGAGAGAGGUGAGUGGAAUUCCUAGUGUAGAGGUGAAAUUCGU
rnacentral:rRNA from 1 species